rnacentral:rRNA from 1 species
ACGGAAGGCAGCAGCUAAGAAUAUUCCGCAAUGGACGAAAGUCUGACGGAGCGACGCCGCGUGGAUGAUGAAGGUCGGAAGAUUGUAAAAUCCUUUUAUAACUGAGGAAUAAGUACUGUCAGAGAAAGGCAGUAUGGUGACUGUAGGUUAUGAAUAAGCAACGGCUAAUUACGUGCCAGCAGCCGCGGUAAUACGUAGGGAGCAAGCGUUAUCCGGAAUUACUGGGUGUAAAGGGAGUGUAGGCGGGACUGUAAGUCAGAUGUGAAAUAUACCGGCUCAACUGGUAGACUGCAUUUGAAACUGCGGUUCUUGAGUGAAGUAGAGGUAAGCGGAAUUCCUAGUGUAGCGGUGAAAUGCGUAGAUAUUAGGAGGAACAUCAGUGGCGAAGGCGGCUUACUGGGCUUUAACUGACGCUGAGGCUCGAAAGCGUGGGGAGCAAACAGGAUUAGAUACCCUGGUA